GAUGAAGAACGUAGCGAAAUGCGAUAAGUAGUGUGAAUUGCAGAAUUCAGUGAAUCAUCGAAUCUUUGAACGCACAUUGCGCCCCUUGGUAUCCCGAGGGGCAUGCCUGUUCGAGCGUCAUUAUCACCCCUCAAGCUCAGCUUGGUGUUGGGGCCGGCCCGUCACAGGGCCGCCCCUAAAAGCAGUGGCGGUGCCAUCUGGCUCUACGCGUAGUAAUACUCCUCGCGACAGAGUCCCGGUGGUGUCCUGCCAGAACCCCCCAUCUUUUUAAUGAUUGACCUCGGAUCAGGUAGGGAUACCCGCUGAACUUAAGCAUAUCAAUAAGCGGAGGA
rnacentral:misc_RNA from 1 species